UUGUAUAUGUUUGGUUGCACGUUGAGACAAUGGAAACGCACGUCCCAGCCUUCCAAACGUGAUUUUCCUUUUUCAUAGGAUGUUUGGCAAAGUGGCAGAGAAGUGAUUUUACUCUCCAAACUCGAGUUUGGAUGAAGCUACUAUUUGGAGCUUUCAAGUUAACUAAAAUCAAUUUUGAAGAAAUUGAAAGUGUGUGUGGCAUAUAUAUCUUUCAUCUUCCCAUGUUACCCCUCACUCCAUCAAUUCUCUGUGCGGCUGGUUUUGUUUGUUUCACGUUAGGUUAAAGACAACA
rnacentral:lncRNA from 1 species